CUCCACCCCUCCCCUCUCCUCUCCUCUCCUCCGCACUCGUGAUCCUUUUCCCCCUCCCUCCCAACCUAAAGAAGAAGUCCAACGCCCUAGCGAUUGGGUUAAGCUAAGGUGGCGGGGUGCGGGCUAGCUAGGCGCGGCCCAACGAGUGAAAGGGGGAACUAUCCAAGGAGGACAACCCCUUAAAAAACAACAACUCAGCUAAAACAGGCUCCCAAAGGGCAGCCUAGCCUCGCCUAGCUCAAGCCUCCUCUACGCUUAGGUCCUCGAAGGGCCGCUAACGCUACCGCCUCCGCCCCCGCCUCCCCGCCCCCUCGACGUCGACGCAGCCCUUCUACCGCCCCGGCUGCCAUCACUCGACUUCGACGCACCGCUCCUCCCCCCACAGCGGCGCCGCCCCCUCCUCUUCCCUCUCCCACGCCCAUCCCACUAGCGCGUCCGCCGAAAGCCACGCUUCGCACGCCGCCAACCGCAGCCGCGAGCCUACGAGAAGAUGGGCUGCGACCACAUGUUGCAGCACUCUUUGGUUACGCUCAGAGUGAAGGUGACCACCCUAGUCCAGCUGCUCGUACACGACGACCCACGACAAGGUAAGGGCUCGCUACAAAACGCCGACGUCUUCGAACCUCAAACACCACACCAGUGUGAUUUGCUUAGUAUACUCUCCGAACAAAGGUUCAGUGACAUGCUCCGAGUACCCUAACUUUUGGACCACGACGGUUGAUCUCUGAUGGAAAUACGCGGCAGUAAACUGUUGGAAACGUUCCGACGACUGAAGUAGGUGUCUUUACGAAGUACACCAUUCGACUGAAUACAAGUGACGUUUCGACCUGCCCCUGCAUCGUGGUGGCAACAAGAAACGAUGAACCACGUUAUGUUUGUUUACUGUGGACGACCUCGAAAACUUGUACAAGCCAGUACGUCCGGUUCCCACAAUAACCGAAGGCGUGUUACCUUUCGACAGGUCCUUAAGAUGGUCGAAUCUCACUUCUUUUAAGUCCCGAGGUCAACGUAGCUGUCGGGUUAGCAAUUUUUCCAAGGUAGAGGUAGAGGUCACAACGAACGAUGAGCCUUGGAGUAGUGAAAACUACUCUUCUGUAAACACUACCAGAGUCUUAGUCUGGAACUUCCCAUAUUACGCCUACGGAACCGUCAAUUGCACCCUUCACCAAACACCCUUUAUUCGAAUCAUAUGGCACAAGUCAAACGGUCGGUCCGUCGUAAACGUCCCAAAAGUAUGGACACCAAUGUCACGGCGCGGGUGUUCCUGUGCCUCCGUGAGUGACUCUCGUAGCCAUCACUCUCGACGAGCGACCUCCGCCUCGUCGGACGUUUGCCGGUGGUGACAGAUGAAGUUCCACAGCACCAAUUAGGCACUUAGCGCCUCAAGGAGCCACAGAAAAACAGAACGUGGGCAUGUAUACUUCUCCCGUACGUUACACUUCGGGGCUGAGGUCAGACGUCGUUGGUUCCCCAAGUCAAAGAGCCCAGACAUAUAUACACGACAUUAUUCAACUGACCAUGCACAUGUUUCCAUUUACCUAUAGCAGAGUUUAACGAUUGGAAUGAACGACUUAUACAUAUAUACAUGAUAAAAGAACGGGUGAGACACAAUCGUUAUAAAGAACUCUCAUAAGAGG
rnacentral:rRNA from 1 species